AUUAUAAAACUAUUUCAAACUAAUCAUCAAUUUGCCAACCUCUUAUGCUAUUGUUUUAGGCAGAUACUUUUGCAUCUAUAUAUACAUUUUUGCAGCCAUUUUGUGAAAUAAAUUCUGGAGUUGGGACUUAUUUACAAUGGCUGCCAUUGACUUUUAAUUAUUGAUUUUUUCCAGCAAUAAAUUGAUUAACAAACUAAUA
rnacentral:sRNA from 1 species